AUGGUGCUGGUGAAGUCCUCGUCUGACCUGGUCAGCUUUCACUGGGCUUGCACUUCUGUGGGAGGACAAAGUGAAGCUGAAUUUAUUGCAGAACAUGGUGCUGCUGGAAGAUGUUUAUUGAAAGGGAAGUAGGUCAAGCAGUAAGGCAAGAAACCACUUGAUGUGUUACCAGGAGAUGUGUCACCACCUGCACUUGCUGUCACCAUCCCUGGCACCUCCACAUCAGCUCCAGCGCUGAGCCUGCACCCCGGACACACAGUGUAAGGUGAAGGCUGGUCCCAGUGAGUGAGGACAGCAGGGCUCCUGGGGAGGUCCAGCUCCCAGGACAGAUGCUCUUGGGAUGGGAAUUGUCCCCUGCCAUGGACCAAACGGCCUCUUCCAUGAACU